rnacentral:lncRNA from 1 species
UAAAGUCUCACCAGAGGGACUCAACUAAAGUAUUGUCUGAGGAGCUCAACACCUGAGGGACUUAACUUAAGUCUCACGUGAAGGACUCAAUUAAAGUCUUGCAUGAGGGACUCAACUAAAGUCUCGUCUGAAGGACUCAACUUAAUUCUCGUAUGAGGGACUCAACUUAAAGUAUUGGCUGAAGUCUUGCUUGAGGGACUUAACUUAAAUCUUACAAGAGAGACUCAACUAAAGUCUCUCUUGAGAGACUCAACUUAAAGUCUUGUAUGAGGGAAACUUAAGUCUCGCCGAAGGGACUUAACUUAAGUCUCGUACGAGGGGCUAAACUUAAGUCUCGCCUGAGUUGCUUCACAUAGGGUCCCAUAUGAAUGGUUCCAAUGAAGGAAAACCAACUAAGCACUUCGUCCUUUCUAAGCUCUUUGAAAGAGUGUAUGGAGUAUGGUCAAGUGAUAGGUUGAAUGAAAGUGUGAGGGUGGUUAAGUAUUAUGAUGAAGAGUAUAA